rnacentral:tRNA from 1 species
GUUCCCAUAGUUCAACUGGAUAGAACAAGUUCCUCCUAAGAAUUAGAUGCAGGUUCAAGUCCUGCUGGGAACGCCA